rnacentral:rRNA from 1 species
GGGUUGUGAGGUUAAGCGACUAAGCGUACACGGUGGAUGCCCUGGCAGUCAGAGGCGAUGAAGGACGUGCUAAUCUGCGAUAAGCGUCGGUAAGGUGAUAUGAACCGUUAUAACCGGCGAUUUCCGAAUGGGGAAACCCAGUGUGUUUCGACACACUAUCAUUACGUGAAUACAUAGCGUAAUGAAGCGAACCGGGGGAACUGAAACAUCUAAGUACCCCGAGGAAAAGAAAUCAACCGAGAUUCCCCCAGUAGCGGCGAGCGAACGGGGAGCAGCCCAGAGUCUGAAUCAGCUUGUGUGUUAGUGGAACGGUCUGGAAAGUCCGACGGUACAGGGUGAUAGUCCCGUACACUAAAAUGCACAGGUUGUGAACUCGAAGAGUAGGGCGGGACACGUGGUAUCCUGUCUGAAUAUGGGGGGACCAUCCUCCAAGGCUAAAUACUCCUGACUGACCGAUAGUGAACCAGUACCGUGAGGGAAAGGCGAAAAGAACCCCGGCGAGGGGAGUGAAAAAGAACCUGAAACCGUGUACGUACAAGCAGUGGGAGCAUCCUUCGGGAUGUGACUGCGUACCUUUUGUAUAAUGGGUCAGCGACUUAUAUUCUGUAGCAAGGUUAACCGUAUAGGGGAGCCGAAGGGAAACCGAGUCUUAACUGGGCGUUAAGUUGCAGGGUAUAGACCCGAAACCCGGUGAUCUAGCCAUGGGCAGGUUGAAGGUUGGGUAACACUAACUGGAGGACCGAACCGACUAAUGUUGAAAAAUUAGCGGAUGACUUGUGGCUGGGGGUGAAAGGCCAAUCAAACCGGGAGAUAGCUGGUUCUCCCCGAAAGCUAUUUAGGUAGCGCCUCGUGAACUCAUCUUCGGGGGUAGAGCACUGUUUCGGCUAGGGGGUCAUCCCGACUUACCAACCCGAUGCAAACUGCGAAUACCGAAGAAUGUUAUCACGGGAGACACACGGCGGGUGCUAACGUCCGUCGUGAAGAGGGAAACAACCCAGACCGCCAGCUAAGGUCCCAAAGUCAUGGUUAAGUGGGAAACGAUGUGGGAAGGCACAGACAGCCAGGAUGUUGGCUUAGAAGCAGCCAUCAUUUAAAGAAAGCGUAAUAGCUCACUGGUCGAGUCGGCCUGCGCGGAAGAUGUAACGGGGCUAAACCAUGCACCGAAGCUGCGGCAGCGACACUAUGUGUUGUUGGGUAGGGGAGCGUUCUGUAAGCCGUUGAAGGUGGCCUGUGAGGGUUGCUGGAGGUAUCAGAAGUGCGAAUGCUGACAUAAGUAACGAUAAUGCGGGUGAAAAACCCGCACGCCGGAAGACCAAGGGUUCCUGUCCAACGUUAAUCGGGGCAGGGUGAGUCGACCCCUAAGGCGAGGCCGAAAGGCGUAGUCGAUGGGAAACAGGUUAAUAUUCCUGUACUUGGUGUUACUGCGAAGGGGGGACGGAGAAGGCUAUGUUGGCCGGGCGACGGUUGUCCCGGUUUAAGCAUGUAGGCGGAGGUUCCAGGUAAAUCCGGUACCUUUUAACGCUGAGGUGUGAUGACGAGGCACUACGGUGCUGAAGUGACAAAUGCCCUGCUUCCAGGAAAAGCCUCUAAGCAUCAGGUAACACGAAAUCGUACCCCAAACCGACACAGGUGGUCAGGUAGAGAAUACCAAGGCGCUUGAGAGAACUCGGGUGAAGGAACUAGGCAAAAUGGUGCCGUAACUUCGGGAGAAGGCACGCUGAUAUGUAGGUGAAGCGGUUUACCCGUGGAGCUGAAAUCAGUCGAAGAUACCAGCUGGCUGCAACUGUUUAUUAAAAACACAGCACUGUGCAAACACGAAAGUGGACGUAUACGGUGUGACGCCUGCCCGGUGCCGGAAGGUUAAUUGAUGGGGUUAUCCGUAAGGAGAAGCUCUUGAUCGAAGCCCCGGUAAACGGCGGCCGUAACUAUAACGGUCCUAAGGUAGCGAAAUUCCUUGUCGGGUAAGUUCCGACCUGCACGAAUGGCGUAAUGAUGGCCAGGCUGUCUCCACCCGAGACUCAGUGAAAUUGAACUCGCUGUGAAGAUGCAGUGUACCCGCGGCAAGACGGAAAGACCCCGUGAACCUUUACUAUAGCUUGACACUGAACACUGGUCCUUGAUGUGUAGGAUAGGUGGGAGGCUUUGAAGCGUGGACGCCAGUCUGCGUGGAGCCAACCUUGAAAUACCACCCUUUAAUGGCUGGUGUUCUAACGUUGACCCGUGAUCCGGGUUGCGGACAGUGUCUGGUGGGUAGUUUGACUGGGGCGGUCUCCUCCUAAAGAGUAACGGAGGAGCACGAAGGUUAGCUAAUCCUGGUCGGACAUCAGGAGGUUAGUGCAAAGGCAUAAGCUAGCUUGACUGCGAGAGUGACGGCUCGAGCAGGUGCGAAAGCAGGUCUUAGUGAUCCGGUGGUUCUGAAUGGAAGGGCCAUCGCUCAACGGAUAAAAGGUACUCCGGGGAUAACAGGCUGAUACCGCCCAAGAGUUCAUAUCGACGGCGGUGUUUGGCACCUCGAUGUCGGCUCAUCACAUCCUGGGGCUGAAGUAGGUCCCAAGGGUAUGGCUGUUCGCCAUUUAAAGUGGUACGCGAGCUGGGUUUAGAACGUCGUGAGACAGUUCGGUCCCUAUCUGCCGUGGGCGCUGGAGAAUUGAGGGGGGCUGCUCCUAGUACGAGAGGACCGGAGUGGACGCAUCACUGGUGUUCGGGUUGUCAUGCCAAUGGCAUUGCCCGGUAGCUAAAUGCGGAAGAGAUAAGUGCUGAAAGCAUCUAAGCACGAAACUUGCCCCGAGAUGAGUUCUCCCUGAGACUUUAAGUCUCCUGAAGGAACGUUAAAGACGAUGACGUUGAUAGGUCGGGUGUGUAAGYGUAGCGAUACRUUGAGCUAACCGAUACUAAUGAACCGUGAGGCUUAACCUUACAACGCCGAAG